rnacentral:rRNA from 1 species
UUCUGGAAUACGAGGUCCAAGCUGGUAGGUGGAUCCGCCAGGUAAAUCCGGCGGGUCAUUACACCGAGAAGUGAUGGGGAUGCCGAGCAAUCGGCUACAAACUGGCCGAGCCCAAGCUGCCAAGAAAAGCCUCUAGCGAGCGGAUGGGGUGAUCGUACCGUAAACCGACACAGGUGGGCGGGGAGAAUAUCCCAAGGCGCUUGAGUGAUCCCUCGUUAAGGAACUCGGCCAAUUAACUCCGUAACUUCGGGAAAAGGAGUGUCUGGAACCGUGAUGGAACUUGCUUUCGGAGCGGAUCCAGAUCGCAGUGAAAAGGCUGUAGCGACUGUUUAAUAAAAACACAGGUCUCUGCGAAGUCGUAAGACGAUGUAUAGGGGCUGACGCCUGCCCGGUGCCGGAAGGUUAAGGGGAUUUGUUAGCCGCAAGGCGAAGCAUUGAACUGAAGCCCCGGUAAACGGCGGCCGUAACGAUAACGGUCCUAAGGUAGCGAAAUUCCUUGUCGGGUAAGUUCCGACCUGCACGAAUGGCGUAACGACUUCAGCACUGUCUCAACGAGGGGCUCAGCGAAGUUGUGAGAGCGGUGAAGACGCCGCUUUCCCGCGACAAGACGGAAAGACCCCAUGAACCUUUACUAUAACUUGGCAAUGAAUUUUGGAAUAUUCUGUGUAGGAUAGGUGGGAGGCUUUGAAGUUCCGGCGCUAGCUGGGAUGGAGCCAACCUUGAAAUACCACCCUGAUUAUUCUGAAGUUCUAACUUGGAUCCCUGAAUCGGGAUUGAGGACAUUGCCAGGCGGGUAGUUUGACUGGGGCGGUCGCCUCCCAAAGCGUAACGGAGGCGCACGAAGGUUCCCUCAGGCUGAUUGGAAACCAGCCGUAGAGUGUAAAGGCACAAGGGAGCUUGACUGCGAGACUCACAAGUCAAGCAGGUGCGAAAGCAGGUCUUAGUGAUCCGGCGGUUCUGGAUGGAAGGGCCGUCGCUCAACGGAUAAAAGGUACUCUGGGGAUAACAGGCUGAUCUCCUCCAAGAGUCCACAUCGACGAGGAGGUUUGGCACCUCGAUGUCGGCUCAUCGCAUCCUGGGGCUGAAGUAGGUCCCAAGGGUUCGGCUGUUCGCCGAUUAAAGCGGUACGUGAGCUGGGUUUAGAACGUCGUGAGACAGUUCGGUCCCUAUCUGUCGUGGGCGUAGGAUAUUUGAGAGGAGCUGUCCCUAGUACGAGAGGACCGGGAUGGACGAACCUCUAGUGUGCCAGUUGUUCCGCCAGGAGCAGCGCUGGGUAGCUAUGUUCGGAAGGGAUAACCGCUGAAAGCAUCUAAGCGGGAAGCCCCCCUCAAGAUUAGAUAUCCCUCUUCGGUGGAGACACCGGAGCUAAAGACCCCUUGUAGACCACAAGGCUGAUAGGCCAGAGGUAUAAGUCCAGCAAUGGAUUAAGCUUACUGGUACUAAUGGGUCGUGAGGCUUGGCCAU